rnacentral:piRNA from 1 species
UGAAAUACGAAGUUAUGGAGGUCCGAC